rnacentral:tRNA from 1 species
AAAAUCCGCCGGCUUCAAAAAGUCGUGAGGGUUCAAGUCCCUCUAUCCCC